rnacentral:rRNA from 1 species
CCUACGGGUGGCUGCAGUGAGGAAUAUUGGUCAAUGGCCGGGAGGCUGAACCAGCCACGUCGCGUGCGGGAAGACGGCCCUAUGGGUUGUCAACCUCUUUUGUCAGGGAGCAAAGUGCAGUUCGGGACCUGCUGUGAGAGUACCUGAAGAAAAAGCAUCGGCUAACUCCGUGCCAGCAGCCGCGGUAAUACGGAGGAUGCGAGCGUUAUCCGGAUUUAUUGGGUGUAAAGGGUGCGUAGACGGGACGUCAAGUUGGUUGUGAAAUCCCGCGGCUUAACUGAGGAACUGCAACCAAAAGUAACUUUCGUGAGUGCGGGAGAGGAAAGUGGAAUUCAUAGUGUAGCGGUGAAAGGCGUAGAUAUUAGGAGGAACACCAGUGGCGAAGGCGACUUUCUGGACAGUAACUGACGUUGAGGCACGAAAGUGUGGGGAGCAAACAGGAUUAGAUACCCCUGUAGUC